UUGCACUGCCGAGUGACUUUAUGGCCUAAUUGUUGGCUUUAAGAGUAUGAUUUCCAGUGCUAUAUAGAAAUGCCCAGCUUGCAGAAGGGUAUUUUUUGUGUGUUUCUAUCCUUUCGAAGGUCGGGCACAUGA